UUAGUCAUAGAAUUAGUUCUGAACGACAGUGAGACUGCUAUCGUUUACAACGUAUAUGGAUGUAUUGCUUUUAUCCUCUCAACAUUCGAUCAAUUAUCCAUAUCAAAUGCAUGCCAAAGGUUGAACGAUUCGGCUUGUGAAACUUCAUCGAUUUUACAUUCAAUGAGAAUAACUCAUGACGUUGAUCCACGAUUGCGAAAAAGUAUUGACGAUUUCUCCAUCCAAAUGUUAACAAAUGAACUGAAGUUCCGGGGGGAUAUGCUUUAGAUUCAACAUCUAC